UUCAGCUGUAUUGCCUAAAGCAGAACAACAUCGUCAGCGGUCAGCCAUUAUCGUGAGAUGUGAACGGAGGUUUCUGUGAAAAAUAAAGUCAGUUACGUUCGUACAAAGGUAACGAGGAUACGCGUUCAAGAUACGUUGAAAAAAAUGCACACUAUUACCGAGUUAGGUACCAGUGUACCGGCGUUCCUGGGUAAACUGUGGAAACUCGUUGAGGAUCCUGAGACCGACGACCUUAUUUGCUGGGCACCCAAUGGAAGAAGUUUCUUCAUCAGGAAUCAGGCACAAUUCGCUCGCGAAUUGUUGCCGCACUAUUACAAACACAACAACAUGGCUAGCUUUGUUAGACAACUCAAUAUGUAUGGUUUCCACAAGAAAGUUUCAGUCGAAUUGGGUGGUUUAAAAUGUGACAGAGAUGAAAUGGAGUUUGCGCAUCAAUAUUUCUGUAAAGAUCAUCCUUAUCUGUUAGAUCAUAUCAAAAGAAAGAUUGCAUCUAACAAAGGUCAAGAUCCAACACACGCACCGAUGAAACCCGAACUUAUGAACAAGAUGUUAACAGAGGUCAGAACUAUGAGAGGACGUCAAGAACAUCUAGAUUCUAGAUUGGGCGCAAUGAAAAGAGAAAAUGAGGCUCUCUGGCGUGAACUCGCAAUGCUGAGACAGAAACACCUGAAGCAACAACAAAUUGUCAACAAACUCAUUCAUUUCUUGGUCACCCUGGUUCAGCCAUCGAGAGGAGGUGGACUUUCUGUAAAGAGACGAUAUCCCCUCAUGAUAGAUGAUUCUAAUCGUCAACGUAAUAAGCAAGCUAAACUCUCUAAGCCACAAACAUCACCAACUGGUCCUGUAAUCCAUGAAUUGGAUGCGUCAGAACCUGACUUAGAUUCCGAAUAUAUUGUAGCUGAAAUGCUCGAAAAUCAUGAGAGUCCCGCUGUCGAGAGUCCAGAACAUAACGGAUCAUUAGUUAUGGACGACGGGACUUUGGAAACCCUUCAUUUGGUCAAUAAUGCAGUCCAAUUGCCAGAGGGCAUCCAAUUGAUCGCACCCGAGGAACUGGAAUCUACUACAAAGAAGCGCGCACCAAAAGGAAAGAAAAAGAGGAAAAACAAGGUGCCAGUCAAAAUUCUGAUCCCGUCGACAGAAGACGGCGAAGAACCCAGGGAAGAAACGUUCAUGCUUCAAGUCCCCUACGAAGACUCUUCGGUGGACAAUGUCGAGCUCCUGGAGCACAAGGUGGCCAAGUCGAAACCAGUACCGCUUGCUACUAUGAGAAGUUCGAAACUCGCUGCAAUGGCCGCCAACAUGAAUAAAGCUAAUGAGUUUGAAUUGGACCUGGAUCUUGAGUCGGCUGCUGCUGAUGCUGAUGCCGAUGCUGAGGAGGAUCCAAAGGAUAUCGAUCAACCUGGUCUAGUGAAGCUCGAAGAUAUCUUGAUUAUUCCAGAUAACGUACAGGAGGCGAAUGACGACAGGGAUACCCAGGGUAUCAUCGAUGAAGGUCAAAAGAUUAAUGACGCUCAGAGAGACGACUCUGAUGGGGGUGAUAACUAUGUGGACUUCGAGAAUGGAUCCUUUGGGAAUCUUAAUGGGAUUAUUGAGGGUUUGACGUCGGAGAAGAGCCCUAAGAGUAAUGGGGCCAGUACUAGCACUUCUCCAAAAGAUUUGUCAUUGAGUUGCGUCAAUCCUUCGGGCAUGACUGAUGCUGUUUACAGGUUAGGACCGAUGGAGGAGGUUGAUACGCACCUUGAAAGUAUGCAGACAGAGCUCGAUAACUUGCGUGAGAUUUUGAGAGGUGAAGGAUACAGUAUCGAUGCCAACACUUUACUUGGACUUUUUGGUGCAGAUGAUCCAAUGUCUUUUGGUAUCCCAAUGAAUCCCGAAUUGGAUCCACACUCCAACCGCGAGAAGGAUGAGGAGGAUCAGACGAAUGACUCAACGGGUGGAUCGACAGGACGUGGUGAGCUCAUGCCAUAUAAUCCUGUUCCAAGUCUACUAGAUUUUGAUGACGACAUUUUUAUGAAUGCAACGACAUCAUCACCUGGUACUGGUGCGGGUUCAAACACAGACGUUGAUUUCGCCACCGAUCCUCUGGAUCUUGAGGAUAGUAAAGCUUCGCUGCUCGACUCAUUGGUUGCGGGAAACGACGUGAAUAGAACUUCGUAAAUUUUCUUUCACCUGAUACAGAGUUUUGUCUCUUUUGACGUGGCCGGUCGGUCAGUUGGUUUCGCCUUGCUGUUCCGUUCUAGGUUUCGCGCCAUGCCCACCAAUGACCUCGGAGGAAAGACUAUGGGUAUCCUAACUAGGCAAUUGGUAAAGUCUUCAUUUAAAUUUACAAAAAAAAAAUACAACAUGGUAAUAAACCUUAUAUUAUAUACGAAGCUAAUCAGUAACGUAAUUAUAUAUUGUAUAAUACGAAGCAAAGUAUAUCGAUGAGGAAAACGCUGAAAAUAGUAAUUGAUUUCGGAAAAGAAAAGGUGGGAAGCAGCAACGCCAUUUUUUCAUAGUGAAUACAUUGGAUUACUGUUUUUUUUAAAAACAAUAUCAUGACUAUUAUUAUAAAGCAUAUCAAAACAAUUGAUAUACAACGUAUUGACUUGCUCUCAAAAUUUACUCACGUAAUCCAGACGUUCACUGUGUCACUAAUUCAUUCCAUAACACCGUUUAAUUGUACAAUUGUUUAUAACUAAUUAACGAAGAAACUUUUAGCUUUUCCCAUUUUUUGAAAAUUAGAAGAACGUACACGCAUACCAACUCUAGUAUUGUCGUUAAGGGUUUAAAUACGUCACUAUUGUUUAGAGGUAGGUAAAUUCCUAUUGUACGUUUGCAAAGCUAAAUUUUCUAUGUUACGUAAUUUAUUCUGAACGUAAUGUAUCAGGUGUAAGGCUUUUCUCUGUUACAGUGCAAUGGGCAAUUACUAAAAUGUCAUUAUAAAAUAAUAAAUAUAAAACAAGAAUUUUUCUAAUCAGCCCUGUCGUAAUACUAGUUUAUCGGCUAAAGACUAUGUAAAUCAUAUCUUUACGUAACACAAGGUAAUUCUUCUCGCCUGUAAUUGUCCAUGCGCUGUACACGGCGUCACACGGUUUACAUAAUUAAUAAUAAAGUUCAGUAAGUAAACUUUUUUCUACUAUGGUUUCUUACGAGUUCUUCACGGGUAAUGGAUCAAUGAAAUCUAUGUUAUACAAUAUGAACAAUAGAAAUUGUUAUUCACGAAUUAAAGGUUUUAGAUAAACUUAACCUCAAUCUUUUGAACUUAUCCAGUUUUAUAUAGCGGGCGUUCAUCUAGUUUUUUCACUUUUACUACACGUAGAUAGGUAAUGACAGGCAAGGUGUUCACGGCGUACAACUUAAGUAAGCCAUUUGAGACAAGAUUGUCGGACUAAUCGAGGGUUAAAGUAAUAUGUAACGAGAGAAGAGAAUAUUAUUGGAAGCGUAAUCGAUGUCAUCGAUUAGAUUGUAGGUUAUACAUUAAAACGUGAAACUGAUUAUCAUUGUUCAUGCAUAAAGAAUCUAUUGAGAUUGCUUUACGUGUUUUGAAGAUCGGACAUGGAAAUUAAUAAAAUCGUAUAAGAGGGAUAAUUUGGCGUGUAAUUAACAAGAGGAUGGUCUGAAUUUCACAUUUAUUUAAUUGGAGUAAUUAUCGAUGCGAUUAUAUAAGAAUCGCAAAAGUGUUUAUAUAUUGCAUAUAUUAUACGUACACAAUAAAUACAGGGUGAGUUGUCUUAGAUUCCGGAUUUGGGAGGAGCCUCCGUAUGUAUUAGAUGCAGCUAUUCUCCAAACAGAUUAUCCGCAUGUACAAGCAAAACUGUCAUGCGAGAUCAGUAGCCUGGACAUGCUUACAAUACGAUAUCAAAAACGUCUUGGCUGUAGAUGCGGGUAAUUUGUUUGGAGAAUAGUGCACCUAAUACAUACGAAGGCUUCUCCCAGAUUCAGAGUCUAUAGGAUAACUCCCUCUGUAUAUGUAUACAUAUAUGCUUAGUAGACUUUAUACUAAGAUUUGCCUUAAUAUUGUGCCACACGAUCUAAGAACUGAUAUUUUAUUUACCCCUCUUCCCCAAAUCGUGCUGUGAGUAAACUGCGCACUAUGUAUUCAGUUCAAUUUAAAUUCGGUUCCCUCACUGAACAUUGAUGCAUUGUACGUUUUAAUUCUGUCUCUAAAUUUAACAAAAUAUAAACAGUUAUCAUAAUUUUGUAUAAUCAAUCUGUAUAAAUCGUUACUUCGUUGCUAUAUAUAUACAGUAAGCAUUUUAUAACUGUAAGGUGAUUGCAGAUAAUCAUUUGUAGACGUCCCAAAAGUACGACGAGGAUUGAGUUACACGUUUAUGUAUUCAUUUAUUAGAAUUAAUACCGCUCGAAGGUAGAAAUAAACAAAUUAUAUUAUUUCUUAUAUUCUACGAUGUUAAGGGCAAAAGGAUUUUAAUAAGUAGUUCAGUUUCACGAUAAGAGAUCACAAUAUUAUCUAUGCACGAAGAAUAUUUAUUUUCUGUACGUAUGUAGGAAACACGAAAAUGAAACUUGUACUGUAUUUUUAAGUUUGUCGUACAUGUUUAUGCUUUAACAAUCUGCCUACGGAUGCUGUUAGGAGAGCAAACAAUGAUCUAUAAAUAAGAUAAGUUUGAGUCAUUAAAUUUCAGGGAAUGUCAGUGGUCAUUACUGGAAAAUACAAUGAUCUUUCAAUUACCUCUAAGGAUUGUUUACUUAAAAAAAGGACAGUCCACGGAAAUAUCAUUAUCAUAAGUCAAACGGUAUUUUGAUACGUUUUUAAAGGAACAUGCAAAAAAUUAAGUUAUCAUGCAAUAAAGAGUUUAAGUAAUAUUGUUUUACAAAAUUGUAUGGAAAAAAAAAACAGAAACUUGUCUAAGCGAUUUUUCGAUUUGUAAUGAGGGUCGGUAUA